rnacentral:pre_miRNA from 1 species
AUAGUACUCCCUCUGUUCCGAAUUACUUGUCGCACGUAUGGAUGUAUCUAGAUGUAUUUUAGUUCUAGAUACAUCCAUUUCAGAGACAAGUAAUUCGGAACGGAGAGAGUAACAA